AAAAAUUUAACUUCAUGAGUACAUUAACAAUAACCUGCAUGAAUACCAGUUCACGGCAGGUAUUUGAAAAAAUAUUUUCUGCAAGCUUCUGACGGCGAAUCGCGCUCUUAGCCAUAAAGUCCCAAAAGGUUCCAAGCUCAACAGAGGAGUUCAAAGCAACAGGCUAUGAGCUGGUAAGGAAUAUGAACCUAAUCCUCUCCAAUAUAAAAUCUGGUUUCUGUUUUAAAAAUAAAAAAAAAAUUAUUGAAUCAACAAAAAAAAUUAAAAUUUGGAACUGGAAAUGAUUCAAGGGUUGGAGUUAUUAAUCCCUUUGGCGUAGCAGGGAACUAAUUCCACUUAGAGAGUUUGAGUUAGUUCUCGCUCCGUGGGAACGAAAUAAUUUUUAGUAAACUGGAUUUAGUUCCUAUGCUAGAAGGAAUACCGGCGAUUUUAGAUUUCCAUUUUACAGAAGAGCUGCAACACAAAAUGACACUUACAUAAACAUCCAACUUUUAAAUAGGCUUUUUUAGUAAUUCAAAAACAAAGCGAAGUUUAAAUAAAUUUAAAUUUGUAUUAAAACCUAUUAUACAAAAUAAUAUCGUAUAGUUUUUAUUGCUUAUAUUUUAUGUACAAAAUGUUAUUAAGAGUUUUUUAAACUAAGAAAUAAAAUUUAAAAAUGUCUAACAGUA